rnacentral:rRNA from 1 species
CGUUCCCGGGCCUUGUACACACCGCCCGUCACACCACGAGAGUUUGUAACACCCGAAGUUCGGUGGGGUAACCCUUUUGGGAGCCAGCCGCCGAAGGUGGGACAGAUGAUUGGGGUGUA